rnacentral:rRNA from 1 species
AAAAACAUUUCUUAAAUAAAAAUUUUAAGUAAAAUCUGCUCCAUGUAAAAAUAAAUAGCCGCAGUACUUAUACUGUGCUAAGGUAGCAUAAUCAUUAGCCUUUUAAAUAAGGGCUAGAAUGAACGAUUUAACAUUUUAAUUACUUUUUUUUUAAAAAUAAUUUAAUUUAAAUUAAACAUAAAAAUGUGUUUAUUAUAUAUAAAGACGAUAAGACCCUAUCAAACUUAACUAAAGUUCAGCUGGGGAAGCUAAUUAAAAAUCAUUUUAAUUUUUAUAUUAAUCAAAACACCCAAUUAAAUUGAAUAAACCAAGUUACUGUAGGGAUAACAGCGUAAUAUUUUUUUAAAGCUCUUAUAUAAAAAAGAGAUUACGACCUCGAUGUUGAAUU